AGACACGAUAACAUCAAGAGGCCCUUGGACAUUUGGUUGAAGAAACUAUACCUUUGAGUCGAGCCUAGUAACUUAGUUUAAUUUUAAAUGUUGAAGCAAUCAAAUCUAGAGAGCCUUUAUUUGUUGACAUGUAAACUUGUGAUAGUGAGAUAUAUCCAAACUAAAAGAGGGUGAGGACUACAGUUACCUAAAAUCCUAACUUUAAAACACAACCUGGGGAUAACUGAGUGAAAAGAAUAAGUUUGGGGGGUUGUGUACCUCUCGAGCGAAGUAAUGACAUAUUUGACCACAUCAUAAAAUAAAUAUGUUAGCAUGAUUUCACACACGCACGUCGGGUAUGCAAUUAACAGGUAAAGGUUGAUUUCAUACUUUCACUAAUCAAAAAAUUUUUUGAAGUCAAAUAUUUAGUCCAAUCCCGAGACACGGCAGGCUAUUAAGCCAUGUUUAUUUAGUAUUGAGUCACUAUCUUGUUUGAGGACAAACAAUAUUUCAACUUUAGGGGGUGGUUUGAUAUGUGUAUUUUUAUAUAUUUACUUAGUUCACAGGCAUGACUUAAUUAUGAUCAAAAAGUUUGAAUUAUGGCUUAAUUCAAUGUAAUUAUGUUUUGUAGGACUAUAUUAAUGAAUGUGAUGGAAUUCAAGAAAAAAGAAACGAAAAAGAACCAAAAAGGAAGAAAAUCCAAAGUAUGAGGACUAAGUUGCAACAUUUCAAUAGUUGAUUUUGAACACAAAAUGAAGAUUAAAGAUGUUGCAGGUUCAAUUGGAUGCAAUUAAAAGUCAAAGGGUUGAAAAUACAAGAGAAAGGACUUGAAAGAAUCAAAAAUCGACUUCGGGGGUUAAAAUGCAACAUAUGGAAAAAAUUUUGCCUGGGCGAUCGCUCAAAAUGAUUUUUUAAUUACCGAGAAGAAAUUCUAGACCUGAGCAACUGCCCGAGUUUCGCCUGGACAACAGCCCAAACCAAUCGCGGCGAGAAAAUCUGGUUUCCUUUUCUGAAUGAAAUUCUUAUGGAAACAGAUUUUGGAGAGUCUUUUAAAGCCCUAGGGACGUCCAAAAAUAGACACCAAGCAUUAUGACCCGGUCAAAAGGAAUUUUGAGAGAGGAGGAAAGGGAAGAACAAGAAGAUUCAAUCCAAGAUUCAAUGUCUUACUUCAAGAAUUUCAA
rnacentral:lncRNA from 1 species